GCUUACAUAAUGUGCUCAUGGCUGAUAAGAAAGAUGGUCAUUUGAAAGUGUCCUCGGGAAUUUUUUCUACUAUAAUAGUUAAAAGGAUGAGCUGCAGUUUGCUUCAGAUUUAGUAUUCAUGAUGCUCAUUUUUAUUCUUUGUGUGCAUUGUUCUGGACUCUGGGGAUGGUGUAACUCACAAUGUCCCCAUCUAUGAGGGCUACGCUUUGCCCCAUGCCAUCAUGCGUCUGGAUCUGGCUGGUAGGGACCUCACUGACUACCUCAUGAAGAUCCUCACUGAGCGUGGCUACUCCUUUGUCACCACUGCUGAACGUGAAAUUGUCCGUGACAUUAAAGAGAAGCUGUGCUAUGUCGCCCUGGAUUUUGAGAAUGAGAUGGCCACAGCUGCCUCUUCCUCCUCCCUGGAGAAGAGCUAUGAACUGCCUGAUGGCCAAGUCAUCACUAUUGGCAAUGAGCGCUUCCGCUGUCCCGAGACGCUCUUCCAGCCCUCCUUCAUUGGUAUGGAAUCUGCUGGCAUCCAUGAAACAACUUACAAUAGCAUCAUGAAGUGUGACAUUGAUAUCCGCAAGGACCUGUAUGCCAACAAUGUCUUAUCUGGAGGCACCACUAUGUACCCUGGUAUUGCUGAUCGUAUGC
rnacentral:sRNA from 1 species